AUCCCCUAACUGUCACAGUUAACAGUAAAAAAGAGAUUAUUAAUAGAAACCUUUGCUCUUCAGUUUGGUGCAGAAGGCUAUAGUCUUGUAGAAGAUAUCCAACAGCCAUUAGACAUGUCCUUCUUUUAUAUCCUGAAAGCUUCCUCUGCGGGAAUCUACAAGUGUCAAACAUAUUGAACCUAAUAAUCUUAUGAUGGUGGAGACCAUGCAAGAAUUUUUUUCUAAGUGGGACAAGAUGCUAGAAGUCAAUUGUUGUAGCUGGAACAUGCUAAGCUUCUACAAAAUAUCAUAUUUGUGCUACCAUCUGAGACAUACUCCCUUGGCAAGAAGUGUUAAAUACCAGCUUUCUGUUUUGCCUUUUGUGGGUCACUCUGUACUGCUGCAUAUAUACUGUUUUUUAUUCCUAAUAACCAGAAAUUCAACUUAGAACAACACAUCGUGUUUGCAAAAUAGAAGGUUUGCUCUUCAAGAUAAAUAAAAAAAUCAGAGUGACAAUUUAUUCUAUUUAUAAAAUUGUAUAUGCCACCUACUCAUUAGAUUCUCACUAGUUUACAAAAAUAAAAAUAUAAAACAGUAUAAAGAAAAAAACAUGUAAAAUCACAAUUAUUG